CCGGGCGGGUGGCCGUUUAAGACUUGCAGUGAUGUUUAAACUUCUGUCCACGUGAACAUCACAGCAAGUCUGUGCUGCUUCUCGUCCCCAC
rnacentral:pre_miRNA from 15 species